rnacentral:rRNA from 1 species
UACAGAGACUGCAAGCGUUAUUCGGAUUUACUGGGCGUAAAGGGCGCGUAGGCGGCCACGACAAGUCACUUGUGAAAUCUCCGGGCUUAACCCGGAACGGUCAAGUGAUACUGUCGGGCUAGAGUGCAGAAGGGGCAACUGGAAUUCUCGGUGUAGCGGUGAAAUGCGUAGAUAUCAUGAGGAAGACCAGUGGCGAAGGCGGGUCUCUGGACAGUUCCUGACACUGAGGCACGAAGGCCAGGGGAGCAAACGGG